GCAGGCGCGAAACCUUUACACUGCACGACAGUGCGAUAAGGGAAUCCCAAGUGCACAGGCAUAGAGCCUGUGCUUUUGUGUACCCUAGGGCGGUACACGAAUAAGGGCUGGGCAAGACCGGUGCCAGCCGCCGCGGUAAUACCGGCAGCCCAAGUGAUGGCCGAUCUUAUUGGGCCUAAAGCGUCCGUAGCUGGCCGCACAAGUCCAUCGGGAAAUCCACCUGCCCAACAGGUGGACGCCCGGUGGAAACUGUGUGGCUUGGGACCGGAAGGCGCGACGGGUACGUCCGGGGUAGGAGUGAAAUCCCGUAAUCCUGGACGGACCGCCGAUGGCGAAAGCACGUCGCGAAAACGGAUCCGACAGUGAGGGACGAAAGCCAGGGUCUCGAACCGGAUUAGAUACCCGGGUAGUCCUGGCCGUAAACAAUGUCUGUUAGGUGUGGCUCCCACUACGAGUGGGUGCUGUGCCGUAGGGAAGCCGCUAAACAGACCGCCUGGGAAGUACGUCCGCAAGGAUGAAACUUAAAGGAAUUGGCGGGGGAGCACUACAACCGGAGGAGCCUGCGGUUUAAUUGGAUUCAACGCCGG
rnacentral:rRNA from 1 species